AAGUCGUAACAAGGUUUCCGUAGGUGAACCUGCGGAAGGAUCAUUAGUGAAUGAAAGGGUUGCCCUCUGGGUGCCCGAAUACUUUCACCACCUCACACUAUCUGUGCACUGUCUUGGGGAGCAGAGAUGGGGCCUUCUGGGUCCCUAGACACUCUGCUGCCCUCAUCAUUCAUAAACUCUUGCAUGUAAAUUGUAUGUGAUCUUCUUUGAAAAAAGAAAUACAACUUUCAACAACGGAUCUCUUGGCUCUC
rnacentral:misc_RNA from 1 species